rnacentral:rRNA from 1 species
AGUGAACGCUGGCGGCGUGCUUAACACAUGCAAGUCGAACGAGAACGGACUAAAGCUUGCUUUAGUUGUCAGCUAAGUGGCGCACGGGUGAGUAAUGUAUAGGUAAUAUGCCUCUUAGUAAGGGAUAACAAGCGGAAACGCUUGCUAAUACCUUAUAUGCCUUUUAAACACAAGUUUGUAAAGGGAAAGAUUUAUCGCUAAGAGAUUGGCCUGUAUGGUAUCAGCUUGUUGGUGGGGUAAAGGCCUACCAAGGCUAUGACGCCUAACUGGUUUGAGAGGAUGAUCAGUCACACUGGAACUGAGACACGGUCCAGACUCCUACGGGAGGCAGCAGUGGGGAAUAUUGCACAAUGGGCGAAAGCCUGAUGCAGCAACGCCGCGUGGAGGAUGACACUUUUCGGAGCGUAAACUCCUUUUAUAUAGGAAGAUAAUGACGGUACUAUAUGAAUAAGCACCGGCUAACUCCGUGCCAGCAGCCGCGGUAAUACGGAGGGUGCAAGCGUUACUCGGAAUCACUGGGCGUAAAGAGCGUGUAGGCGGAUAAGUAAGUUUGAAGUGAAAUCCUAUGGCUCAACCAUAGAACUGCUUUGAAAACUGCUUAUCUAGAGUAUGGGAGAGGCAGAUGGAAUUUCUGGUGUAGGGGUAAAAUCCGUAGAUAUCAGAAGGAAUACCGAUCGCGAAGGCGAUCUGCUGGAACAUUACUGACGCUAAGACGCGAAAGCGUGGGGAGCAAACAGG